CGGCGGGGACGAGCGCCCGCUACUUCACGAGAGAGCCCGAGGGGCGGCGCGGCCAGUGGGAGCGGGACCCCGGGGCCGCGGACGCGGAGGAGGAGGGGCUGGCGCCCAGGGGGCCCGAGCUGCAGGCGGAGCUGCAGCACUUCGUCAGGGGCUGGCUGAGGAAGAGUCUCGACCAACCGCCCAACGGUGAGUCGGAAAUCGGCUGUUUCUGCGAAAAAAUUAUCAUAAAUCUCGUCGGCUCUGCCGAGAUCAGCUCUCUUCCUAUGAUGCUGUCUGUGUAGAGCCUGCACGUCCUCCCCUGUGUCCUCCCACAGUCCACAGACGUGCAGGGGCGGUUAUUUGGCUUCUGGAGGGGUCGGACCCCAGUGCGAGUGUCCCUCACCCCCCUGUGUGUGCCGGACCGGCACCAGGGCGUAUUCCGCCCUGCGCCCGGUCCGAAAAUGCCAGUUCAAUGUUCUGCAGCGUGCUCGGUUCUCUGGAGACCGCAGCGAGUCGUCUCUCCGACCGGGACCCCUGCCUGCCGCAAUGACGUCCCGUUUCCCGUUUCAGUGAGCGUAGUCCCCCUGGCCCCCGGGGGGGGGCAGGAGAGGGAGAAGAGGCUGCAGAGCAAGGAGCGAGAGAGCCAGGCGACGCCGAAGGCACGCUCCCAGACUCCGGGCGGAGACAGCCAAACACCACCCCCACUCGCGGGCGCAGGUGCCGCCCCAGAGACAAGCCCCGCAGAGACCCCACCUCCUUCCACGCUGUCCAAGCUGAGGGGCGUCCUGGAGGAGAUGGUGCAGAGAGACCUGGAGCAGCGCGAGAAGCUGGAGAGAGACGUGGCGUCCCUGCGGGAGGAGUGGGAGAGGGAGCGGAGGGAGAAGGAGGAGAGGGAUCGGGAGUGGAGGGGAGGGCUGGAGAGGGAGCUGCAGAGAGAGAGGGAGGAGAGGCAGAGGCUGGAGAGGGAGCUGGAGGCGCUGCGGGAGGAGAGGAGCAGGGAGCAGGAGGCGCUGAGGGAGGAGAGAGACCAGAGACAGAGGCUGGAGCGGGAGAGGAGCGAGGGAGAGGAGAGGAGGAGGGAAAUGGAGGAGGAGCUGAGGAGCGAGAGGGAGGGGAGAGAGAGGCUGGAGAGGGAGAGGAGCGAGGGAGAGGAGAGGAGGAGGGCACUGGAGGAGGAGCUGAGGAGCGAGAUGGAGGGGAGAGAGAGGCUGGAGCGGGAGAUCGCGGACCUGAGGGAGGCGCGGGAGAGGGAGAGGAGCGAGAGGGAGGAGCUCAGGCGGCGCUACGAGGAGAGGGCCAGGUCGGAAGAAGCCGCUCACAGGAACGUCCUCCGGCAGAUCCGAGCUCUCGCGGAGCAGCCCAGCGGGGCGGACGAGCUCCCGUGAGCAGCUCAGGGGGAUAACAGCUGGAAGACAGUCGAUGGAUGAAUCCCAUUCAAUUAACCAAUUAACCAAUUAACCAAUUAACCAAUGACAAUUGCUUAGCAGUUAGAGUCUCUAACGAUAUUGCUUGGGGCACGAAGGGGGGAUCACUGUCCCCCUGUACCGGCGAAAACCGCUGUAGAACUGGACCCCUGCGCGUUAGCAGGUUGGAUAUCAGGCACGGGGCCUGAGGGACUUGGAAUCGUAGUCAAAGGGAAGCCCAGGUCAGGAAGCCAGAGGAUUCAGGAGUCGGACAAUCAGGUAGACGCGAGGACGUUGGCUAGGGGCUCCGCUGGGAAACCCAAUACUGAGCCCCUUAAGUAUUCUGGGAACCGGGACGUGUGAUGGUGAUCGAGGGGUCUGAUUGGCUAAUGAGUUUCUCUGCCGGCUUGUUUCUGAUUAUGGGGCGAUUUAAGGUAGGUGGGGGUGGGGGGGACUGUGGGCACUUGGGGAAUGACAGCCCCCCCCAGCCCCCCUCCAUGAGACCGGCCAAUCAGAUGUGAGGAGGGAAGCCGAGCAGGGAAUGCUGGGAAGGAAAGCGGCUCCCCUUGGGAAAAACACGAAACAGCAAAACUCUCGUCUGCCCCCCGAGAGCCACUCGUCUCCCGGUCUGUGGGGACAGAGCUGAUCUGGAGUGUCGGACCCUCGCAGUGUGUGUGUGUGUAUUGUGUUACAGUUGUGCUUAAAGGUUUCAGGUGACUCAAAGCCACACACUUGUUACUCACAAUUCGCUGAUUUCUUAAAAAUGCUCGGAAUGCGCUUAAUCAAAGGCGCUCGGUUAUAUACUUUUCACUUAAAACCAAUUGCCAUAGAGUUAUUAAAAUUGCAAAAAUCUACUUAUUGCAGAAAACUGCUGCCUUUAUACAUUGUGACCUGUGACCUGUGACCUUCUGUUUAUUACUCACGAUUGCAGUGUUGCAUUCUGGGCACAGAGAGAGGGGUGAACAGCUCACGUCUUUGGCCUCUGUGUUUCAGUUGGACUCCAGCCCAGAAGGGUUUUUUUUUUUUGGGGGGGGAGGGGGUGUCAGAUCCCGGCUGGUGGCGUUUCAGGGGCGUGGAGGGAGACCGCCCCCAGACGAUUGCAAGACCAGAGGAAACACGCAAACUCCCCUGCGGAACGUGCUGCGGUCCAGACUCCGGCCCAGGAGCUCUAAUCAGCCCGUCUCUCCUGUUAAACCUGUUUGUGUAACUCAGCCCCCACGUCUCCCUGUGAAUCACAGUCUCUUCACCUGGUGAAAUAAACUCAUGCCGUUUCUCUGUGUCUGUCGUGUCGUGCGUCAGAGUCUUUCGUUCCGGUCUAAGACUUCGGACAACAGUUAUGGGAUUUUUGCUGAGCUGGCCUGGUUUUCUCUUGCCCUUGGCUUCCAGUCCGGCGUGGGACUGACAGUCCGGGAUGGUGUUUUAACCUCAAGUGAGCGCUCCAGCGUGUGGAUGAGGUUCUAGUGAAUCAGAAAGCCGCUGACAAAUAAGGGUGAAUAUAAUCCCGGAGAGAAUCCAGCCCCCAUCCUGUCCUGGGACGCAGAGAGAACAUGCGAACUCCCCCAUAGAUGGUGCUCCGCCUGUCCUGUACUG
ensembl:lincRNA